rnacentral:rRNA from 1 species
AAGUCGAACGACAUAGUGGCGAAAGGGCGAGUAAUACGAUCGAACGUACCCCAAGGUGGAGGAUAGUGUCGGGAAACCGGCGGUAAUACUCCAUGUGCUCUUCGGAGGAAAGCUUUGGCGCCUCGGGAGCGGCGAUCGUCCUAUCAGGUAGUUGGUGAGGUAAAGGCUCACCAAGCCGAAGACGGGUAGCGGGUGUGAGAGCAUGACCCGCCGCAUCGGGACUGAGACACUGCCCGGACUCCUACGGGAGGCUGCAGCGACGAAUCUUCCGCAAUGGGCGAAAGCCUGACGGAGCAAUGCCGCGUGUGGGAUGAAGCAUCUUCGAUGUGUAAACCACUGUCAGAAUCUAGGAACACUGACCAGGGACCAGAGGAAGGGCCGGCUAAUCUCGUGCCAGCAGCCGCGGUAAGACGAGAGGCCCGAGCGUUAAUCGGAAUCACUGGGCUUAAAGGGUGCGCAGGCGGGCCAGCAAGCAUCGCGUGAAAUCCCACGGCUCAACCGUGGAAUAGCGUGGUGAACUGCUGGUCUUGAGGCAGACAGAGGUCGUCGGAACGUUCGGUGGAGCGGUGAAAUGCGUAGAUAUCGAACGGAACGCCGAAGGAGAAGUCAGACGACUGGGUCUGUCCUGACGCUCAGGCACGAAAGCGUGGGGAUCAAACAGGAUUAGAUACCCUGGUAGUCCACGCCGUAAACGAUGUGCACUAGACUGGUGCGGUUUUGACGCCGUGUCGGUCGUAGAGAAAUUGUUAAGUGCACCGCCUGGGGAGUACGGUCGCAAGGCUAAAACUCAAAGGAAUUGACGGGGGCUCACACAAGCGGUGGAGCAUGUUGCUUAAUUCGAAACAACGCGAAGAACCUUACCUGGGUUUGACAUGCACGGAUUAGCUCUUGGAAACAUGAGUGACGCCUUCGGGUGGAACAUACACAGGUGCUGCAUGGCUGUCGUCAGCUCGUGCUGUGAAGUGUCGGGUUAAGUCCCUUAACGAGCGAAACCCCUGCCGCUAGUUGCCAACAGAUAAUGCUGGGGACUCUAGCGGGACUGCCGGCGUCAAGUCGGAGGAAGGUGGGGACGACGUCAAGUCCGCAUGGCCUUUAUGCCCAGGGCUGCACACGUGCUACAAUGGCGUAUACAGAGCGACGCGAGACCGCGAGGUGGAGCAAAUCGCAAAAAGUACGCCCCAGUUCGGAUUGCAGGCUGCAACUCGCCUGCAUGAAGUUGGAAUCGCUAGUAAUCGGAGAUCAGCACGCUCCGGUGAAUACGUUCCUGAGCCUUGUACACACCGCCCGUCAAGUCAUGGAAGCAGGCAGCGCCCGAAGUCG